rnacentral:rRNA from 1 species
GACGAACGCUGGCGGCGUGCUUAACACAUGCAAGUCGAACGGAAAGGCCCUGCUUUUGUGGGGUGCUCGAGUGGCGAACGGGUGAGUAACACGUGAGUAACCUGCCCUUGACUUUGGGAUAACUUCAGGAAACUGGGGCUAAUACCGGAUAGGAGCUCCUGCUGCAUGGUGGGGGUUGGAAAGUUUCGGCGGUUGGGGAUGGACUCGCGGCUUAUCAGCUUGUUGGUGGGGUAGUGGCUUACCAAGGCUUUGACGGGUAGCCGGCCUGAGAGGGUGACCGGCCACAUUGGGACGGAGACGCGGCCCAGACUCCUCCGGGAGGCAGCAGGGGGAAAUUGUGCAGAAGGGGCGGAGGCCGUAUGCAGCCACCCCGCGUGCGGGAGCGCGGCUUUCGGUUUGAAACCCGCUUCCGCCUGUGAAGAAGGGUGAGUGACGGUAGUGGAAAAAGAAGCCCCGGCAAACUACGUC